rnacentral:lncRNA from 1 species
GAGUAUUAUUGCCGUGGAGCUCUGUUAUACACUCAGACACACUACUGGGAGUAUUAUUGCUGUGGAGCUCUGUUAUACACUCACAUUACUGGGAGUAUUAUUGCUGUGGAGCUCUGUUAUACACUCACAUUACUGGGAGUAUUAUUGCUGUGGAGCUCUGUUAUACACUCAGACACAUUACUGGGAGUAUUAUUGCUGUGGAGCUCUGUUAUACA